AGUCCCGGGCUGGCCGGCCGCGGGGCCGGGGCGCUGGCGGUGUCCCCUGGCCGCUUCUGCUGGAGCUCGCGACACGUGGUCUCUCCGGAGAACCCCAGGUAGCGGGGAGGGCUGGGGGCUGAGGCUGCCGGAGCCGCCGAGCGCGGGCCCCCGACGGCCCCGCCCGCGGGCCCGGCUGGCCGUUCGCACCCCGAGACGACGGGAAGUGACACCUGAGCUCCACCGCGCUGUGCUAGGAUGGCACGGCUCCCUGCGGAGAUUUGGAACGCAGGGCCCAAAGAAUCCCCAAACAGAGUGAGAUUCCGAAGCUCUUCAUGCCCUUUCCUUCUCCUUGUCAGCGAAAUAAAUGGCUCCCAAGUUCUCUCCUGCAGCAAUUCUCCUGGGAAGAAGGAAGAUUUACAUCCCCACACAUAGAGCUUUUCACUUCCAGCAAACUUCCUUGGAGCUCAGUCAUAAAAUAUUCAGGCGGAACUCACAAAAAGCUGUGACCUCAUUACAUAAUGCAAACGCAGAGGAUCUCCAGCAACCAGUAGGUGGAGGAAUUUCCAAAGCUAAGAACUCCACUUGGCUCUCCAAACCUGACUUCAGAACCUGAAGACUUUGAAGAGCAUCGAUUCCGUCUCUGCUUUAUAUUAAAGGAAGCAAGGAGUGUUGACUAGCUCCAAGUUGACAGACACAUAGCAUGUUGCCAUUUGCAUGACUGAGGCCGGUUGCCAUGUCCAGGAUCCAUCCGGCUGGUGGAAGGGAAGGGCAGCCUGGAACAAGACUGAAUCCUGAGAAACGGGACACAGAGUUGGAACUGAGCCCCCGAGCCAGAAAGAAGGGAGCGGAGGUGGUUUACGGUCAGUUAUCAAUCAGUACUGAAGACGUCUGUGACCAAAUAGCAAGCAACACAUUCUACAGUGGACACCAGCUGGGAAUCCUCUAAUCUAGUUCGGCUCCAACUCUGUGUUAUUUAUGCAUCCUAAUAAAA